ACGGUCACAUCGCGUUCAAACACCAGUUCUCGUACGAUCAUCGAAGUUAAGCAACCUCGAGCCUGGUCAGUAUCUAGAUGGAUGACCACUUGGGAAUGCCAGGUGCUGUAA